UACGUAGGGUGCAAGCGUUGUCCGGAAUUACUGGGCGUAAAGGGCGCGCAGGCGGCUGCUCAAGUCAGGCGUGAAAGGCCUGGGCUCAACCCGGGAAUUGCGCUUGAGACUGGGCUGGCUUGAGUGCGGGAGAGGAUGGUGGAAUUCCCAGUGUAGAGGUGAAAUUCGUAGAUAUUGGGAAGAACACCGGUGGCGAAGGCGGCCAUCUGGACCGCAACUGACGCUGAGGCGCGGAAAGCGUGGGGAGCAAACAGG
rnacentral:rRNA from 1 species